rnacentral:lncRNA from 8 species
AUGCAUGACCUUCAGGAAGUUAGGGUUCUAAUCAACUCAACUCCGCUGAACUUCAACUCAAACCCCGCUACAGCAAAACACCUCUCUGUCAGGCUGUCCCCAUCUAAUGUGUCUUUUUCCAGCUCUGGCAGGGACAGGGGCAUUGAACACAUUUACAGGACACUGCGACCCCGGCCAAGCGUUUCCACCAAUCACAGAAGACUGCAGCAGAUUACAGCUAAUAAGCAAAAGACAGACUCGUUAGAGAGAGAACAAGAUGAAUUGAAUGAGAGGGGGAAGAGGAGGAGAGAGGAAAACUGAAGGUGAGUGAGAGAAUGAGGAAAUCUGAAUGAGGAGGAGAAAUGGGUCAAUCAAUAGAGAGGGAGGAGAGAGAGAAAGAGCAAGAUGGAGAUAAAAAAAAAAAGAGAGAGUGACAGAGAACCUACAGGAUUUGUCUUGGUGGUCAGGGCAUAACAUUUACCUUUUGGUCCACCAGCCACUGUGGCAGGUAGAUAAAAAAAUCUACCACCAACUCAGACUCAAAAAAAUGACACCAACAAAACAUAAAAAAAUGGACGAGCGUGUUUUGGAAUGUUUCUAAAACAAUAAAUGUAUUACUAGUAAGGAGUAACUAACGUGGUAUAUUGAUAAUACAUUUUUUGGUGUCCUGAGUCUUUUAACCAAACUAUCACAGAUGUUCACCUGCCCCUUUAAGGGCAGGAGGUUACCGUGGUAGCGUGACUCAAGUCAUGUCUGUGAGAUUGUGAGAUUGAGUCUGACUAGUAGAAGCGUUGUCUUCUCUUCCCUAGCUGUUGAAACUCAAACAUAGAAAAACAACCUAGCUUGUGAACAAAACAAUGUAAAUAGCCCAAAAAACAGGACAAAGACUCACUUCAGUAGACUUUUGUUUCAAGUAAAUUAGACCAUGAAACAAAACGGCGGAAAUACUACAGCAGAAUUUCUAUUACUAUAAAUGUGAUCAUACUUGACUAUUUUAUUCACAAAUGCAAAUGAAAUGCUCGCAAUGUGGAGCCCUGACCACCCGCC